UGGGGAAUAUUGCGCAAUGGGCGAAAGCCUGACGCAGCCACGCCGCGUGAGCGAUGAAGGCCUUCGGGUCGUAAAGCUCUGUGGGGAGAGACGAAGAAAGCCCGUGAAGAGCGGGCCUUGACGGUAUCUCCUUAGCAAGCACCGGCUAACUCCGUGCCAGCAGCCGCGGUAAUACGGAGGGUGCAAACGUUGCUCGGAAUCAUUGGGCGUAAAGCGCACGUAGGCGGCUAGAUAAGUCGGGUGUGAAAGCCCUGGGCUCAACCCAGGAAGUGCAUUCGAAACUGUCUAGCUUGAAUCUCGGAGGGGGUCAGAGAAUUCCCGGUGUAGAGGUGAAAUUCGUAGAUAUCGGGAGGAAUACCAGUGGCGAAGGCGCUGACCUGGACGAAGAUUGACGCUGAGGUGCGAAAGCGCGGGGAGCAAACAGG
rnacentral:rRNA from 1 species